rnacentral:rRNA from 1 species
AGUGAACGCUGGCGGUAGGCCUAACACAUGCAAGUCGAACGGCAGCACAGUAAGAGCUUGCUCUUACGGGUGGCGAGUGGCGGGCGGGUGAGGAAUACAUCGGAAUCUACUUUUUCGUGGGGGAUAACGUAGGGAAACUUACGCUAAUACCGCAUACGACCUACGGGUGAAAGCAGGGGAACUUCGGACCUUGCGCGAUUGAAUUAGCCGAUGUCGGAUUAGCUAGUUGGCGGGGUAAAGGCCCACCAAGGCGACGAUCCGUAGCUGGUCUGAGAGGAUGAUCAGCCACACUGGAACUGAGACACGGUCCAGACUCCUACGGGAGGCAGCAGUGGGGAAUAUUGGACAAUGGGCGCAAGCCUGAUCCAGCCAUACCGCGUGGGUGAAGAAGGCCUUCGGGUUGUAAAGCCCUUUUGUUGGGAAAGAAAAGCAGCAGGUUAAUACCCCGCUGUUCUGACGGUACCCAAAGAAUAAGCACCGGCUAACUUCGUG